UGUAGCAUACAAGGCAUACGGCUCAGUAACGCGUAGUCAACCUAACCUAUGGACGGGAAUAACCUCGGGAAACUGAGAAUAAUGCCCGAUAGAACACUAUACCUGGAAUGGUUUGUGUUCCAAAUGAUUUAUCGCCAUAGGAUGGGACUGCGGCCUAUCAGUUUGUUGGUGAGGUAAUGGCCCACCAAGACUAUUACAGGUACGGGCUCUGAGAGGAGUAGCCCGGAGAUGGGUACUGAGACACGGACCCAGGCCCUAUGGGGCGCAGCAGGCGAGAAAACUUUGCAAUGUGCGAAAGCACGACAAGGUUAAUCCGAGUGAUUUGUGCUAAACGAAUCUUUUGUUAGUCCUAGAAACACUAACGAAUAAGGGGUGGGCAAGUUCUGGUGUCAGCCGCCGCGGUAAAACCAGCACCUCAAGUGGUCAGGAUGAUUAUUGGGCCUAAAGCAUCCGUAGCCGGCUCUGUAAGUUUUCGGUUAAAUCUGUACGCUUAACGUACAGGCUGCCGGGAAUACUGCAGAGCUAGGGAGUGGGAGAGGUAGACGGUACUCGGUAGGAAGUGGUAAAAUGCUUUGAUCUAUCGAUGACCACCUGUGGCGAACGCGGUCUACCAGAACACGUCCGACGGUGAGGGAUGAAGCUGGGGGAGCAAACCGGGAUUAGAUACCCGGUAGUCCCAGCUGUAAACUAUGCAACUCAGUGAUGCCAAUGGCUUGUGGCCAAUGCCAGUGC
rnacentral:rRNA from 1 species